rnacentral:rRNA from 1 species
GACGAACGCUGGCGGCGUGCUUAACACAUGCAAGUCGAACGGAAAGGCCCUUCGGGGUACUCGAGUGGCGAACGGGUGAGUAACAAGUGGGUGAUCUGCCCUGCACUUUGGGAUAAGCCUGGGAAACUGGGUCUAAUACCGAAUAGGACCACGCGCUUCAUGGUGUGUGGUGGAAAGCUUUUGCGGUGUGGGAUGGGCCCGCGGCCUAUCAGCUUGUUGGUGGGGUAAUGGCCUACCAAGGCGACGACGGGUAGCCGGCCUGAGAGGGUGACCGGCCACACUGGGACUGAGAUACGGCCCAGACUCCUACGGGAGGCAGCAGUGGGGAAUAUUGCACAAUGGGCGCAAGCCUGAUGCAGCGACGCCGCGUGAGGGAUGACGGCCUUCGGGUUGUAAACCUCUUUCAAUAGGGACGAAGCGCAAGUGACGGUACCUAUAGAAGAAGCACCGGCCAACUACGUG